UUAAUUUUGUGUGAAUAAUGGAUUUAUGGUAUUCUACUUUUGAAAAAGUUUGAUUGGUUGAUAGCUUAAAGUGGUAAGGAUGAAUUAUGCAAGGUGCAUCCACAUGAUUUUAAUUCUUAAUUAUUUACUAGUGUAGUAACCCGUGCGAUGCGACGGAUAAAAAAUUAAAAAAAAAUUAAAAAUAUUAAUGAUAUAUUUUUUCAAAAAAUUUUAAAUUAUUUAUAUUUAAUUGAUUAUAAAUUAUUCAAAUAUAUAGGCAAUCUAUAUAUAUGAGUCAACAGUUUAAAAAUAAAUAAGUACUAAACCAUUUAACAUAAUUAUCAUCUCAAGAAGUAUAUUCUCAAUGGUAAGAAAAUCAAAUAAAUAGUUUUAAACUAUUCCUGCUAAUUCCAAAUAUCACCAACAAACAAUCAAACCAUACAAAAAUUUGAAGUGAAGUCAAUUCAGAUCCUAUUACAAUAGUAACUGAAAUGAGAACUAUUUCAAAAGUAAUAUAGAAUUCACAAAUGUGUCCUAAAUCACAACAAAAAUCUAAAUUCUUCUAGAUCUAAGCCAAAAAUUCAUCAACUGAAACAAACCAGAAUGCAAAUUUUCAUAACAACGCUUCGUCGAACCCCGCUUU
rnacentral:lncRNA from 1 species